rnacentral:rRNA from 1 species
AAACACCCGUUCCCAUCCCGAACACGGAAGUUAAGCCCUCCAGCGCCGAUGGUAGUUGGGGCCAGCGCCCCUGCAAGAGUAGGUCGCUGCUAGGC